ACUACCACCACUGAAGGCAGCUGAUGUCUC
rnacentral:piRNA from 1 species